CUGAUGAAGGUGCUUAUCAGAUU
rnacentral:snRNA from 1 species